rnacentral:rRNA from 1 species
UUGAUCCCGCCGGAUGUCACUGCUAUCGGUGUUCGACUAAGCCAUGCGAGUCAAAUGUUCUUCGUGAACAUGGCGUACUGCUCAGUAACACGUGGAUAACCUGCCCUUAGGUCCGGCAUAACCCCGGGAAACUGGGGAUAAUUCCGGAUAGAUUAUAGAUGCUGGAAUGCCCUGUAAUCCAAAGCUAUUGUGCCUAAGGAUGGGUCUGCGGUCUAUCAGGUUGUAGUGGGUGUAACGUACCUACUAGCCUACGACGGAUACGGGUUGUGGGAGCAAGAGCCCGGAGAUGGAUUCUGAGACAUGAAUCCAGGCCCUACGGGGCGCAGCAGGCGCGAAAACUUUACAAUGCGGGGAACCGCGAUAAGGGGACACCGAGUGCCAGCAUCCUAUGUUGGCUGUCCAUAUGUCUAAAUCACAUGUGUUAGCAAGGGCCGGGCAAGACCGGUGCCAGCCGCCGCGGUAACACCGGCGGCCCGAGUGGUGGCCACUAUUAUUGGGUCUAA